UCAUUUCAAGUCUCACCUGGGGUGGAUCUGCCACCAAGCUCACCCAGGAGCCUGUUGACAGUCCCUGGAGGCCAUGGAGAUGAGAGCCUCAGCUCCUUGCUGGCCAUUGGAAGAGGCUGCCCUCAGUUCCUUCUUCUGCGAGCCUCUCUGUAAUGUGGCAGCUGGCUUCACUGGAGCAACUGAGAGGGAGAGAGAGAAAGACCGAAGUCACAGUUCUCUGUAACCUAACUACAGAAGGGGCAUCUCCUGACUUCUAUUCCUGGGAAGCCAGUCACUGAGUCCAGCCCACAUUCAAGACCCAGGUUACAUGCCAGGAAAGAACUUAGGUCACCAGCAAAGUGAGAGACUGUGGCUAACAUGAUCGCAAAAAGAAUUUACUGGCAGGAGAACAGGCUGUUCAAGGAUCAACAGGCAGGCUAGGGAACCUGGCCAUAGGCAGGGACCAAGGGAGCCUGGGCAGAUGAGAACAGAGUCAAGAGCCUGUCACAGCCAGCAUCUAAUUACAGCGAAGCCACCGGGACUGCCAACCCUGGACAUUCCUCAGGCUCCUGGGCUUUUUCUUUUGAACUGAAAUACAAAUUAGAGUUAAAUGCACAAUUUUCAAAAUUAAUUUAUUUAGGGGGAAGGGGCAUGCCACAUGGCAUAUGGGAUCUUAAUUCCCUGACCAGGGAUCGAACCCGUGCCCCCUGCAGUGGAAGUGCGGAUUCUUAACCACUGGACCGCCAGGGAAGUCCCUAAAUGCACAAUUUUUAAUGUGCACAUCCCUGAUAUGUCUACACCUGUAUAGGCACCAUCCUGUUCAAAACACAGAAUAUUUCUAACAGCUCAAAAGGCUUCCUCAUGUGCCCUUCCAGUCCAUCCAUCAACUCCUCUAAAAGUGAUCCUUGCUCACCAUCCUGUGUUGAACAGUUGGAAUGAAGCCCUUUCCUUAACAAACAGAUUUGGAUCUCAGUUUCCCUGUCUGUAAAGGAGGAAAUUGAACAAAAUUCUCUCGUCAUUAUGAACCUGUGAUGUCAUACUCGGUCAAUGAGACCUCACCAUAAAUGUGCUUACAGUACAGGAGACCAGAGCACAAGCCCAGGGCUCUGAGGGGCUCAGCCACAAGCCAGCAAGCUUCCAUGAAGGGAGUCAAGAAGGAAAGGUCUGGAACAUGAAGGGGGGUGAGAUGGGAGAGGGGUCAGUGGCAUAGUGCAGUGACUGCCAUUCACACCUUUUUGUUUUGUUUCCUUUAAACAUAAAAACAUUUAGCAAAUGAGUUUUUUUGCAUAACACUAAUAACCUAUUCCUUGAUCCUAAGAUGCCAUUGAUUAUAAAAUCUACCGCUGGACUUCCCUGGUGGCACAGUGGUUAAGAAUCCGCCUGCUAAUGCAGGGGACACAGGUUCAAGCCCUGGUCCGGGAAGAUACUCCAUGCCUCAGAGGAACUAAGCCCAUGUGCCACACCUACUGAAGCCUCAAGCCCUAGGGCCUGUGUGCCGCAGCUACUGAGCCUGUGUGCUGCAACUACUGAAGCCCUCUCACCUAGAGCCCAUGCUCUGCAACAAAAGAAGCCACUGCACUGAGAAGCCUGCACACUGCAACAAAGAGAAGCCCCCAUGUGCCACAACCAGAGAAAGCCCGGGUGCAGCAACGGGGACCCAAAGCAGCCAAAACUAAAAUUAAAAUUUUUAAAAAUCUCAUCCUAAUUUGUUAAAAACAAAACAAAACAAAAUCUAGCACUCAUUUAAUGCACUUGGUCCAGAAUAAAGAAUUGAGUGGUGAGCUUCUUUGGAUAACACAAAAAUAUUCAAAUGCGGGAAAAGAAAUACAUUUUCUAGAAUUGAGACAGUAAGCCAUAUAAAAUGAAUAAAAGGGGCUCUGGCUCAGGCCGAAUUGCAGAGGCAAGCUUGGAAUUCUGAAAACUUACCCCUGACCCUUGCCCUCCCCACUGCGGGUCCUAAGGCACCUUUUCAGAACGCAGGAAAAUCCUUUCGAAAAGAAGUUUCCGCUGGUAUUAUGGAAGAGGCUUAUGUUUUGGAAUAGGCAGACAUCUGGCCUGGAGCAAGUGGCUUCACCUCUGAGCUUCUGUUUCCUGAAUAAUGAAAUGUACUUACGUCGAGGAUACAAAUGAGAUCAUUAAAUUACCCAGCACAAUGCCCUGCCCGUCUUAGGCAAGUAGAGAAAUGUCACUUCUCUUCCAUUUCUCCUUGAGCCGCAGACAGUGGAGCUAGAUUCCAAUUUGCUUAACCAUCUGUUGGAUGAAGCAAAGGAGGACAAUCAAAAGCAAGGUGGGCUGUGCAGGGGCAGGAGCAGCAGGAUAGCACUUUGCCUGUUUCCUAUUCAUGACUGAAACCAGCUGCUGAGGUCUCCGGGGGUCAGGCAAUAAUAACCUCUUUCUUCCCUCUGGACUGUAGAACCAGUGGAGAGAUGAGGUACACAGAGAGCUGGAAACCAGACUGAUAAAACUUUAUGACUGAUAAAACUGCUGGCAGAUCAGGGCUUUAGAAUUCUGGUCAAAAGGAUCUGCUAACAUUCUUUGCCCUUCUAGAUCUAAAGGCAGUCCAGCCUGGGGAGAGUUUGGUCUGUAGAGCAGACAUGUCUACCCAGGCCUGGAGUAAGUGGAAGCACAUGCUCUGUGAAACUCAGUCUGAUUGCUCUUAUUUGAAAUGGAAGCCUCCCGCAGAAUGGGAGAAAAUAUUUGCAAAUUACAUAUCUGAUAAAGGAUUAAUGUAGAGAAUAUACAAAAACUCCUAAAACUCACCACUACCACCACCACCACCACCACCACCACCAAUAAAAACCCAAUUCAAAAAUGGGCAAAGGACUUGAAUAAACAUUUCUCCAAGGAAGAUCUAUAAAUGGCCAGUAUGCACAUGAAAAGAUGCUCAUCAUCUCUAAACAUUAGGGAAAUACAAAUCAAAAGCACAAUGAGAUACCACUUCACACCCAUUAGGAUGGCUAUUAUGAAUAAACAAAACAAAAAAACCCCCCAAAACAGAAAACGAUAAGUCACGGGAAGGGUGCAGAGAAAUUGGAAUCCUUGUGCAUUGCUGGUGGGAAUGUAGCAGGGUGCAGUUGCUGUGGAAAAGAGUAUGGUGAUUCCUCAAAAAGCUAAAUGUAGAAUUACCAUGUGAUCUAGCAAUUCCGCUUCUGAGUAUAUAUGCAAAUAAUCGAAAGCAGGGACUCACCCAGAUAUUUGUAGAUCCAUGUUCACAGCAGCAGCAUCCACAAAAGCCAAAGAUGGAAACAGCCCAAAUGUCCAUUAACAGAUGAAUGGAUAAACAAAAUGUAGUCUAUACACAACACAGUGGAGUAUUACUCAGCUUUAAAAAGGAAUGAAAUUGUGACACAUGCUACAGUAUGGAUAAACUUUAAAGACGUUAUGCAAAGUGAAAUAAACCAGUCACAAAAGGACAACUGCUUUAUGAUUCCACUUACAUAAGUAACUACAGGAGUCAAAUUCAUAGAGAUAGAAAGUAGAAUCGUGGUUCCCACUUACAGAGUUCCAGUUUGCGGGGAUGAAAAAGUUCUCGAGAUGGAUGGCGGUGAUGGUUACACAACAAUGUGAAUAUACCUAAUGCCAGUGAACUGCACACUUAAAAAUGACUAAAAUGGUACAUUUUGUUGUGUAUAUUUUAUCACAAUAAAAGAAAAAUGGCAGCCUUAGCUCCACCCCAUCCCAGUCCUCCUGAUCUCCCCUUGCCCUGCCUGUUGGGGUUUUUUUGCUCCAUGGACCUUAUCAUCUGUAAUAUAUUAUGUAAUUUCCUAAUUUUCUAUGCUUAUUUUCUCCUUUAGAAUGUAAGCUCCAU